rnacentral:rRNA from 1 species
GACGAACGCUGGCGGCGUGCUUAACACAUGCAAGUCGAACGGAAAGGCCCUGCUUUUGUGGGGUGCUCGAGUGGCGAACGGGUGAGUAACACGUGAGUAACCUGCCCUUGACUUUGGGAUAACUUCAGGAAACUGGGGCUAAUACCGGAUAGGAGCUCCUGCUGCAUGGUGGGGGUUGGAAAGUUUCGGCGGUUGGGGAUGGACUCGCGGCUUAUCAGCUUGUUGGUGGGGUAGUGGCUUACCAAGGCUUUGACGGGUAGCCGGCCUGAGAGGGUGACCGGCCACAUUGGGACUGAGAUACGGCCCAGACUCAUACGGGAGGCAGCAGUGGGGAAUAUUGCACAAUGGGCGGAAGCCUGAUGCAGCCACGCCGCGUGCGGGAUGACGGCCUUCGGGUUGUAAACCGCUUUCGCCUGUGACGAAGCGUGAGUGACGGUAAUGGGUAAAGAAGCACCGGCUAACUACGUG